CGGCGACCUCCAAUGGGGGAGAGCGGGGGCCGCUCGCGGGGCUCCGCGCUGCCCGCUCCGCGGAGCUCGGCGGCGGCUCGGCGGGGAGAAGGCGGCCGGAGGAGAGGACGGGAGCCGGGUGUCCGAGGAACCGGGUGUGGACGCCUUGUGCGAGCCCAAGGUGAGCGAGGUUCCUCACGAACAAAAAACCUAGCAAAUAUCAGCCUGUCGCUUAAUCUGCAAGAAGGAAUGAUACACGAAAGGCUGUGAAAAGCGAAGAAAUUUAGUGUUAUUUUCUCCGUGGCAGGGUGAGAUGGAUCACACCAUCACGGACGCAGUAUUGCGAAAGGAGCUAGCAUGGAAAAUAUCAUCGUGUAACUGAGCCAAAACACUUUUCCCCCAUCGCAACACGCCGGGGAGAAAUGAAUGUAUGUGUACCGGAUAGUUUCUGUACUAACUGGCUCAGGUGAUAGGACCUCUCACUUUCAAAAAAGAAAGGAAAUAUUAAUAGUAUUAGUAAUA